CUCGGCAAAAUCCCAAUGGCCCACCAGGGCAUAUUGGAACACGGGCCUCGACUGUUUACCAAAAACAUAGCCCUCGGCUAAUAUGAAAAUAGAUGUAUAGAGGGUGAUGCCUGCCCAAUGGUUGUAUCUAAAAGCGGUUGAUAAAAGUUGACCUCGUAAGGACAAUUGAAUGGCCGCGGUAACACUGACCGUGAUAAUGUAGCGUAAUCAAUAGCCAAUUAAUUGUUGGCCAGUAUGAAUGGCGCCACGAAGGCCCCACUGUCUUAAGGAAAUUCCCAGUGAAAUUGAAUUCGUAGUGAAGAUGCUACGUCCAAUUUGUUAGACGAAAAGACCCCGUUGAGCUUUACUGGAGCACUUACAUGGCCCCGGCCUUCCCAUGCCUGGGAACCGGCCGAAUUUAAAUGGGCGGCUUAGAUUAUGUGGCAGCCCCCCGCUGGGGCAAAUGAAACACCACUCCCCCAUGUCAAAGGGGCUAACCCCCCCCCCUUGGGGGGACAGUGUAAGUAGGACAGUUUGGUUGGGGCGACCACCUUUUAAAAAGUAACGAAGGUGCGCUUAAGGUGCGCAAUUAAUGACUGAAGCCUGACUGCGAGGGGGACACCCCGAGCAGACACCCCAAAGCCCGCCCGAAAGGCGGCGGUGGGGUGGGCCAUAGUGACCCGUUAAUUUAGAGUGGAAUAGUUAACGAUCAACGAAUAAAAG
rnacentral:rRNA from 1 species